GAUGAACGCUGGCGGCGUGCCUAAUACAUGCAAGUCGAGCGAACAGAUGAGGAGCUUGCUCCUCUGACGUUAGCGGCGGACGGGUGGGUAACACGUGGAUAACCUACCUAUAAGACUGGGAUAACUUCGGGAAACCGGAGCUAAUACCGGAUAAUAUAUUGAACCGCAUGGUUCAAUAGUGAAAGACGGUUUUGCUGUCACUUAUAGAUGGAUCCGCGCCGCAUUAGCUAGUUGGUAAGGUAACGGCUUACCAAGGCAACGAUGCGUAGCCGACCUGAGAGGGUGAUCGGCCACACUGGAACUGAGACACGGUCCAGACUCCUACGGGAGGCAGCAGUAGGGAAUCUUCCGCAAUGGGCGAAAGCUUGACGGAGCAACGCCGCGUGAGUGAUGAAGGUCUUCGGAUCGUAAAACUCUGUUAUUAGGGAAGAACAAAUGUGUAAGUAACUAUGCACGUCUUGACGGUACCUAAUCAGAAAGCCACGGCUAACUACGUG
rnacentral:rRNA from 1 species